GAUGAACGCUGGCGGCGUGCCUAAUACAUGCAAGUCGAGCGAACGGACGAGAAGCUUGCUUCUCUGCUGUUAGCGGCGGACGGGUGAGUAACACGUGGAUAACUUACCUAUAAGACUGGGAUAACUUCGGGAAACCGUAGCUAAUACCGGAUAAUAUUUUGAACCGCAUGGUUCAAAAGUGAAAGACGGUCUUGCUGUCACUUAUAGAUGGAUCCGCGCUGCAUUAGCUAGUUGGUAAGGUAACGGCUUACCAAGGCAACGAUGCAUAGCCGACCUGAGAGGAUGAUCAGCCACACUGGUACUGAGACACGGUCCAGACUCCUACGGGAGGCAGCAGUAGGGAAUCUUGCACAAUGGGCGAAAGCCUGACCGAGCAACGCCGCGUGAGUGAUGAAGGUCUUCGGAUCGAAAAGCUCUGUUAUUAGGGAGGAACGUAUGUGAGUGUAACUCUGCACGUCUUGACGGUACCAAAACAGUAAGCCCCGGCUAACUACGUG
rnacentral:rRNA from 1 species